GCUGUGAUAGCUCAGUCGGUAGAGCAUGAGACUCUUAAUAUCAGGGUUAUAGGUUCAAGCCCCGCAUGAGGCA